CAUCACGUAGCUCAGAUGGCAGAGCGCCUGUCUUACAAACAGGAGGCCGCAGGUUCGAUCCCUGCCGUGAUGACCA
rnacentral:tRNA from 1 species